UUGAAUGUUUUUAGCCAAAGAUUCUGAUUACAAUUUUUUAUAAAUGUGGCUGCUAGUAGAUAAACUCCAAUACUGAGAUUGAAUGGCCUAGUUUUGUUUUAUAUUUUGGUUUAAUUUAUAUGCCAUCUGAUUAAUUUUUUUAUAUCUUGGCUGUUAUAGUGAGUUCAUGUAUUGAAUAAGUUGUUCAGGUAUUGAAUAAGUUCUGUAACAUUUAUAUGUGCUUUCGUUGCUCCAAUGCUUGCUGCUUGGUUUAGAUUGAAAUAUCCCAUAUUGUUUCUAUGAUAUAGUUUCCUAGGAUUUCAAGGUCUAAAUUAUUCCGUCGUGGCGUGUCACCUCUGCUGCCCUCUCUUAUAAUCGGCUACCUCUCAUUAUAAACAAUCAUUCCCCUUUUCUAAUCUUUCUAUGAUCUCUAUCUUGGGUUUUUAAUUAGGACUCUGUUACAACUUACAAGAGUAAGUUAUACUCAUUUUUUCCCCACGUUUUUUUUGAGAAUUCAGUUAUUAAGAGCUGGGUUUCGCAGAAAAUGAUGGACGUGUUUGAUGACGAGGUUGAGGGUGAGGCUACUAUUUUGAUGAAAGAUUACCUGGAAGCUGUUGAAGAAGAGGAACUGAGAAGAAGGGUUGGAAUUGAAGAGUGUGUUCUUCCAAGAAGGGACGAAGAUCAAGAUGGAGAUGAGCGUGAAGGAAGCGUUGGAGAGGGCGAUGAGGACUUUGUCUGAGUGGAUAAGACGGGAAGUGAAUCGAAAUAUGUAAUGAUCAUAUAUACUUGAUACUUGGUUCAUUCGAAUGAUAAUGUAUGAAUAUUUUAGAUUAUAUAUAAUAUUGUUAUUGUCGAUUUUAUCA